rnacentral:rRNA from 1 species
GACGAACGCUGGCGGCGUGCUUAACACAUGCAAGUCGAGCGGUAAGGCCCCUUCGGGGGUACACGAGCGGCGAACGGGUGAGUAACACGUGAGUAAUCUGCCCUUCACUUCGGGAUAACCGCCGGAAACGGUGGCUAAUACCGGAUACGACGCGCUCCCGCAUGGGAUGUGCGUGGAAAGUUUUCUCGGUGAAGGAUGUGCUCGCGGCCUAUCAGCUUGUUGGUGAGGUAAUGGCNCACCAAGGCGACGACGGGUAGCCGGCCUGAGAGGGUGACCGGCCACACUGGGACUGAGACACGGCCCAGACUCCUACGGGAGGCAGCAGUGGGGAAUAUUGCACAAUGGGCGGAAGCCUGAUGCAGCAACGCCGCGUGAGGGACGACGGCCUCGGUUGUAA